rnacentral:rRNA from 1 species
GAUGAACGCUGGCGGCGUGCUUAACACAUGCAAGUCGAACGGAAAGGCCCAAGCUUGCUUGGGUACUCGAGUGGCGAACGGGUGAGUAACACGUGGGUGAUCUGCCCUGCACUUCGGGAUAAGCCUGGGAAACUGGGUCUAAUACCGGAUAGGACGAUGGUUUGGAUGCCAUUGUGGAAAGUUUUUUCGGUGUGGGAUGAGCUCGCGGCCUAUCAGCUUGUUGGUGGGGUAAUGGCCUACCAAGGCGUCGACGGGUAGCCGGCCUGAGAGGGUGUACGGCCACAUUGGGGCUGGGAUACGGCCCAGACUCCUACGGGAGGCAGCAGUGGGGAAUAUUGCACAAUGGGGGCAAGCCUGAUGCAGCGACGCCGCGGGGGGGAUGACGGCCUUCGGGUUGUAAACUCCUUUCGCUAGGGACGAAGCGUUUUUGUGACGGUACCUGGAGAAGAAGCACCGGCUAACUACGUG